rnacentral:sRNA from 1 species
UGCCAAUCAGAGUUUCUCUGAUUUUCAAAUCAAAUAUCCAUUGUUGAAGAUGCUGAGCUUGCCAGAAGAGAAAAAAAAAAAAUAGUAUAUCUACGUCGCAGAAUCAUAAUUGGAGGAUAAUGGCCCGAAAGAGACAUCGCAAAGUUCAAUGUUUGCCAUUGAGACGAGGGAGGAGGCACUACUAUCAUAUCACUCCAAAAUGCGAUAUUAUGAAAUGCGAAUACGAAAUCUUAUCUGCCAGACACACACGAGUUUUCGGAUGCUAUUUGAAUCGGCAGCGUACAUACAUAUAUGCAUAGUACUUAUGUAUAUACAUAUAUAUUUUUGAUUCCGUUUCGGUUAGAUUCAUCAGAGGUAGAGCUACUACGUGGCUACCAACCUACCAUGGAUGUCCCCCAUACCAUCUUAUCUGGUGAAAGCCUCAUCAUCAUCCUCCUCCCGUUCAAGAUCAAGCUCGGCAUGGAAAGUUUUCAUAAGUUUUCCUUUCGAGUGCCUUGAAAAAAAAAAAAAAAUAUAUACAAAUUCUAAAGGUUACAACAACCAGUGGCCUGCUCAUGUUAAUUUCAUUCACAAAAGAAGCCCUCGACAAAAGCAUAAUAUCUCACACGGAUAUAUAUCUGUUAUCUCGAUCUGUUCGAUGUAAACAAGUUUUCUCGUUCAUAUGACUGAUUAUUGAUCAUGGGCUUUGUUUCUUUUUGGCUUUUUUUUUGGCUGUCUGGCUGCCUGGCUUAUGCAAUGCUCCACAGACAUUGGUCAUUACUUUUAAUGGCAUUCUCACGAAUACCCACGAUGAUAAAUUCGAUUUUUUUGGGUCAAGAAGUGAUGUCUGGCUAGAUACUUGGCCAUACUCCUCCCCAGUAAGUAGUACUCCGAUGGGCCAUAAAAUAUCUAAACAAAGGUGUACAGGUGUUUACGUAUACGUAAUAUUCAAGGUGUCAAGGAUUAGAAACUAAAGGGCCUUCUACAAAGUCUAAUUACUUGUCAAAAAACAGAAACUGCAUGCUUUUUGGUCUCAUGGCCUUAAUGAAGCGAUAACAACGCCGAAGACGCUCUAAUUCGCAGUUGAUAUUAACUAUUUGGUUAGUGUAUUAACGAGGCUGUGCCAGGCACAAAUAUUUGCCCGCCCGUUUGGCACUGAUCGUGCCAAGGAGGAGGAAGACACAUGCGACAUACGAGGCGUAUGAGUAAUAAAGUCAACCUGCCACCUUCUUUUCAUCAUAAGCAGCAACAAAAAUAAUAAAAUUGUUGUGUAAACGAUCGCGAAAACGAUAUCAACAACCCGGAGAUAUAUCAGCUAAAUUAUUAUCAAGUUUUU